rnacentral:rRNA from 1 species
AGCAGCCGCGGUAAUUCCAGCUCCAAUAGCGUAUAUUAAAGUUGUUGCAGUUAAAAAGCUCGUAGUUGAACCUCGGGAUCAAUGGAUCGGUCAUGCCAUCGGUAUGUACUGGUCUCAUUGGUUCUCACCUUCUAAGGAACCAUGAUGUCAUUCAUUUGAUGUUGUGGGGAAUUAGGACUGUUACCUUGAAAAAUUAGAGUGUUUAAAGCAGGCUAACGCUUGAAUACAUUAGCAUGGAAUAAUGAAAUAGGACAUCGCAUUCUAUUUCGUUGGUUUCUAGGAUCGAUGUAAUGAUUAAUAGGGAUAGUUGGGGGCAUUAGUAUUCAAUUGUCAGAGGUGAAAUUCUUGGAUUUAUUGAAGACUAACUACUGCGAAAGCAUUUGCCAAGGAUGUUUUCAUUAAUCAAGAACGAAAGUUAGGGGAUCGAAGACGAUCAGAUACCGUCGUAGUCUUAACCAUAAACUAUGCCGACUAGGGAUCGGAUGAUGUUGAUUUUU